GGUCCGGUGGUGUAGUUGGUUCAUCACGUUAGUCUAACAUUAAAAAUAACUCAUUACGAGCCCUUCUGGGUUCGUGGAGUCGUUAAUGUGAGCACUAAAGGUCCCCGGUUCAAGCCCGGGCCAGAUCA